UCAACCAGAGUUCCACCAACAUUGCAACAUGCACUCAACCAGCAAAACAUACCAAGACUGCCGAAUGUUUGGUCAGGAAAAAGCAUCCCACAAUGUUGCGACAGGCCCAUGUUUCAGUUUAUCGAGACUAGUCGUGAAACACAGACUUCUGAUUCAUGGAGUGCGGCAAACAUAUCUGUGCGACUCGUUCACUCCACUGUAAAGACCCGCACGGCAUUAAAAUGGAUAUCAUCCGACGUUUGCAAACGAUGGCUGCAUGAGGUCUGCGUCUCACAACCUACAUCCCAAGAUAGCUUUGUGUGUGAUGUUUGUAUUGCACAAUAUAGUUGAUGUAUUGAAACCAGGCUUUAAAAAUAAAUCAAGGUCAACUACAAUUUAAAAUUAAAACUAGAAAUGGCGCGGCAGAGGCCGACGAGUAUCCCCACGCCGCAUGUUUGACCCAGGGGCGCCCUAGGUUUGGUAAUGGGGCCAUGCAUAGUCGAGGCUUUGUUGAUUCUGGUGGCGGUGAAAAUGUUAAAAUCGAAGUCCUUAAUACAAGAGUAAAAUUCACUUGGAUUUAGGUCCUCAUCCUGCUCUCCUAAAAAAUCUAAUACUGAAUCAACUUCACUGACGUCCAUUAUGUACAUAUCAUCCUCAUUGGAAUGAGAUGGCUGAACUUGCUCUGUUAUAGCCAAUCUUCAUGCUUCUGCUUUGGAAAAGUUAUGUUUUGAGGUUAAAUGGUUGACUAAAUAGUAGCGUCUCAGAAAUUUUAUAUCGCAAUCUUGUACACAACAUUGAAAAUGUUAAAUUUCAUGUCUGUCAUUGAUGUGCCUGUUCAAGAGUCCUUUUUGCUUUAAAUUGUUUGUCACAUUUUUCACACUUGAACAUUUUGAAAGAUUUUCAUAAUGAGUCUAAAAGUGUGAUUGAACAAAUUGAAAGUUUCAGCCCUUUUAUAGAUUCUUGAGGCGCUAUUCCAUGAGUUUCUCAUGCUUUUUAUGCUUGACUGCAUUCUAUCUCUUCUCUAAAAUACAGGUGUCCCUUUGCACCAAUAUUUUAUAAUCCCUUGUAUAAACAUUAGAUGGAUGAGCUAAACCAUUUCACAGACGAAUAAACACAAAUAAUUGACUACUAAAUACAUCUCUGCGCCACUACUGUGUAACUCUAUAUAUGUUUUCAAUACACAAGCUUCAUUGUUGAAUAAUUCCUUUGUCCGAUGAAAAUGCUUGCACUUCUUCUGAUUGGGUAGAUAACCACUUAAUAGAUUUCGAAAUUUAAACGCGGACCUUAAGUUCAAGGUCAAGGUCACAGGGGUCAAAACUUUUUAAUGCGCAUGGAAAGGUCUUGUCCAGAUACACAUGCAUACCAAAUAUGAAAGCAAUAUCUGAAGGUACACAGUAGGUAUGAGCCUUUUUCGAAUCGUGUUUGCAGAUUUCGAAACCUAAACGCUGGCCUAAAGUUCAAGGUCAAGGUCACAGGGGUCAAAAAUUGUAUGCGCAUGGUAAGGUGUUGUUCAGAUACACAUGCAUAGCAAAUAUUACACCAAUAUCUGAAGGGACACAGUAGUUAUGAGCCUUUUUCGAAUCGCGGUCGCAGAUUCAGAAACCUGAACGCUGACCUCAAGUUCAAGGUCAAGGUAGCAUGUACAAAAUUGUAUGCGCAUGAAAAGAUGUUGUCUAGAUACACAUACAUACCAAAUAUGACAGCAAUAUCUGAAGGGACACAGUAGUUAUGAGCCUUUUUCGAAUCGCGGUCACAGAUUUCAAAACCUUAAAACUGGCCCAAAGUUCAAAGUCAAGGUCACAGGGAUAAAAAUUUUCAUGCGCAUGGAAAGGUGUUGUCCAGAUACACAUGCAUACCAAAUAUAAAAGCAAUAUCUGAAGGGACACAGUAGUUAUGAGCCUUUUUCUAAAUCGCGGUCGCAUAUUUCGAAACCUGAAAACUGACCCCAAGUUCAAGGUCAUAGGGGUAAAAAAAUUGUGUGCGCAUGGAUAGGUGUUGUCUAGAUAUACAUACAUACCAAAUAUGAAAGCAAUAUCUGAAGGGACACAGUAGUUAUGAGCCUUUUUCGAAUUGCGGUCACAGAUUUCGAAACCUUAAAACUGACCCAAAGUUGAAGGUCAAGGGUAAAAAAUUGUAUGCGAAUGGAUAGGUGGUGUCUAGAUACACAUGCAUACCAAAUAUGAAAGCAAUAUCUGAAGGGACACAGUAGUUAUGAGCCUUUUUUCGAAUCGGGGUCGCAGGAAAAUCACUGACCCGGCCCCACCCUGACCCCAAUAACUUUUGGCCAAGGGGUCAGAUCAAAAUUCCGUCGCUGUCACCGUCGUAUAUAUGCUCAUAGCUACCAUGUGUGUAAGUUUCAAGGUUCUAGUGCUAAUAGUGUAGGAGAUAAUAGUGUCCAGGACGGACAGAUAGACAGACGGCGGAGCUAAACACAAUAUCCCCACGCUUUAAAAAAAACAUGGGGAUAAAAAAAAAGGGUAAAGAUGAGUACUAAAAUUUUGUGUGUACAUGGUUUACCUGCAUAAAUAGUUUGAAAUUGCAUAUAUAUUUAAAUUUUAGAACAACAAAGUAAAUGUUGAAAAUGGUUCAUGAUAGUUCUUUGUAUAUUGUUAAAUCACUCAUUUUAGGGCAAUUAUAAUUUUUUGUUUAAAAAGGCAAUCUUACUCAACAUCUGCGGAUUUAAGGUGAUACAUGUAUUGAUACUGAUUUUAAGUUGAUGCCAUGUUUUAUACAGAUAACUUGAAUGUACCGAUCGUUUUCAAUUCAUUGCUUUGUAACUGAAAUAAUGAAUUUUUUACCACCUUCCUGUUACUUUUAAUUUAGUGUUUUGUGGAAAAUGAGAUUUUCAUGUUAAAAAGUAUGCAUUAUUCAAGAUAGAUUAAAUCAAAGACAACUGUUGAUACCUGCACAUGGAUAUUUCAUUCCUUAUGUGUGUAAUUUCCUAUCCUUGACAUGCAUAAGUAAUCAUGUAAGAAACAAUUUUUUGCAGCUGGUUGUUACUGCAUGUGUAAUUUCUAUUCAAAAUGAUGGUUUUAAUAACAUGUGAUUCAAUGAGAAAUGCAUUUCUCAACUGAAACAUUUCUUAAUUUAUAUAUAAAUCAUAUUUACUAUAUCAUGUGCUCAUGCAUACAUGUUGCUUAUUGUUGAUGUCUUAAUAAACCAAGAGUAUAUUAUCAA